ensembl:lncRNA
GCCCCAGGUGUCCUGCAGCCAACUGCGUCUCAAGGUAGAACCGGGACAUAGUGACAUGUUGUGUUUUGUCCAUGAAGAUGGAAAGAUCCUAGACUCUAGAUACUGAAUUAAGUGGAUAAACCUGAGGCUCUAUUACAAGUGAGAUAUCUAUGAAAGAAAGUCAGAGCUAACUCAUUCUGGGAAGGUAAGUGGAAUGCUCACUUUCUGGAAUAGCACUGUCUGAAUUCACAGAUGCUGUGGUACUGUUACAAUUAC